rnacentral:rRNA from 1 species
CAGCCGCCGCGGGAAUACGAAGGGGGCUAGCGUUGUUCGGAUUUACUGGGCGUAAAGCGCACGUAGGCGGAUCGAUCAGUCAGGGGUGAAAUCCCAGAGCUCAACUCUGGAGCUGCCUUUGAUACUGUCGAUCUGGAGUAUGGAAGAGGUGAGUGGAAUUCCGAGUGUAGAGGUGAAAUUCGUAGAUAUUCGGAGGAACACCAGUGGCGAAGGCGGCUCACUGGUCCAUUACUGACGCUGAGGUGCGAAAGCGUGGGGAGCAAACAGGAUUAGAUACCCGGGUAGUCCCUGUCUCUUAUAC